ensembl:lncRNA
GCGUGUGCUGCAAACCCCCCCUCCCAUCAUUGACAUCUAGGGUUCACCAGGAUGUGUCCCACUCUGCGAACCAGCAGCCCAAGGAAGACAAAGCUUCAGAGCCUGCGGUCAUCUGUGGAAUGAAUGACGCCUGCAGAAGAAACCCUAAUACCUCAGUUCUGUAGACAGGAGGCUGAAGUUCCAAGCAGUUCAAGGCCUUGGCCAACCUGGCAGAGCUGGACAAAGAAAAGGCACAACUCUCUGGACCCAUGAUCUCUGGAUUCUGAAACAUCAGCGUGUGUGGGGAUGGAGGUCACUGUCAUGACAGACGCCCUGAGCUGUGCAUGGGGGAGGAAGAGGAGCCACCAUCCCAGGAAUGAGCCUCACACGGGCGGCGUCCUAGCCAGAGGGGUUUGCAGAUGAAGAAAGAGGUCAAGAGCUGCUGUGGUUCAUGGGGGAGGAGCUGGGCCUACUGCCCACACAGCUGGGCCCCUAGUCAGAGAAGCCAGGAUCCCAGACCCACCGGCCCUCCCCGUUCAGAGGAGGGGCUUGAACAUCUUUCUCCACCUUACAUCCCCGUGGCCAGAGUCUGAAGUCCUUCUUCACAGAUGUGCUGGACAAGACCGCACAUGGAGGCUGCCCAGAGAGCCUUUCAAGGCUGAGUGCGAAGGCAGGCUGCACUGCAAGCCAGGGCCGGGGGAUACAAGCGGGAGAUGGGCUUGGGUGGGGAGACUUGCCAGCACCUCCAAGGUAUGCAACACCCACCCCACUGCUCAGAAACAGACUGAGAUUAAACAAAUGGAUCAUUAA